rnacentral:lncRNA from 1 species
GUAUUUAUCUCUAAUCAACACUUUUAUUAAUCAAGGAAGGUGUGAGCUGAAGGCCACCACUUCUGAAAACAAACAUAUUUUAAAUUCCUUAGAGCUUGCAUGUACGUAUGUAUCUGUGUGUGUGUAUUUCUCUGUCUCCCUAGCUAUUUAUCAUGUCCGGUUGGACACAUUGUGCGAGCCCAGCUGCUCUUAUCUGGCAUGGGGUAGCAUAUUAAAAGGAAGAUUAAGAUUACCAUUUUGCUUUAUUUUGUUUCUCAAAGCUUGAUAUGCAUAACCAGAACUUGUGUGUGUGUGCAGAAUAACCGUUGUAGGCAGCUUUUGCUCGCAGUGUCUCCAGGCAGUAGGUAAGGCACAUCUGGAGCUUGCAGCAUCGUGGAGAUGGCUGCUCAAAUCCCAGGAGUACGGGUCGCGCUGGGAAUGGGGGCCCGGUAUCCAUGGUGAGAUUCCCUAUCUCACAGUGCCAGGUGUGUGCACGUGCGCUAUUUCUUGGAAAGGCCGUCCUUGGGGGAAGGAGGAAACCAAGAGAGAGGCUCAGCCUCACAAGGACACUUCCAAAUUGCCUGCUGCUCUGCCAGAUCCACAACUACAAGAAUGGCUGUGGUGACAAUCGCUUUCUUAUAAGGUCCUGCCCAAGAAAUCAGCCCCUUGCUCUACUGCCUCAUUCAAGUGGGGAGAGUUCGUUGUGCUUGCAGCCCAUUGAGCUGGAAGGAGCUGCUCUCUGUCUUAGACUUGCCCUGGACUGGCUCAAGGGUGCCUGCUCCCACAGCCUCCUCUGUUUCCAAAGGUAAAAUGUACAAACCAGUGCCAGAUAAAUCUAUGUGGGAUUCACCUCUUUGACCACCAGGCCUUAGAGUUAGGAUUCUUCUUUCUCAUUCAAUAAAUAUAUACAUUUUUUCCUGGAAAACAGGACUGUAUUGUAAAGAGAAGUGAAGGAUGAUAUUUCCAACUCAUAUGCCUUACAGAGAGAGUGACCAAGAGCCUUCUGCAUGAAGUAGCAUAUCUCCUCAGGCACAAAUGGGGAGAGAGCACUUUGGGUGAGACUCCUCAGCUGUUAUGGAAAACGAAGGAUCUCAGAGAUGUGUCUCCUUUUUCAAGGAACAAAACUGGGACCAUGCUCAGUUCUGCCAGAAAGAAGCAUGCAAAGUGAAAAAGCUCAGUGUAACAUAUCCAAGCUCUGGAGAGAAGUGGAAUUUUAAAUGCACCCCUAUGUUCCAUCCUCAGGUUUUCCCCAUAUGCAGGCUCCAGAUGGCCGCUUGCUCAGCACACUGGUUUUUGCAGCUCAGAGGUGUGUGUGUGGGUUAGGGAUGAAUGCCAUGAUCUUAAAAAGUAUGGGCCCAGCUGUACAUUUCCCUUGUCUACUUGAUGAGGUGAGGGAGAAGAACCCACAGUAAUCAGAGCAGCCCCAAGCCCUACAUGCCCUUCACAGAUGAUCCCUGCUGGUACCAGGCCCAUGAGAAGACUGGGCUUUUGUCCCUGUGUCAGAUUUGUUGAUGUAAAGUGCCUACCCAGCUCCUGGGCCAGGAGCUUUUAUCUCCACAGGACUCUCUGCUUCUCCAAGUAGAUGUAUCUGCUCUCCUGCCGUUAGCUCGAGGCUCUCUCAUAUGGCAAGCUCCAAGGCACAUACGUGCACCCGGCACAGCUUCUUUCUUGGAUCUGGUCCUUACUGUUCAGGGACAACAUGCCAUUUGCUCGAUGCACCUUGAGCUCUGCAGGUGAAUCAAGAGUGUGGAGCUGGCCUCUGCUUUCGUUCAGCAUCACAGAGAGACAGCCAUUCCCUGCAGACAUUGACACUCUGCUGUGCUAAAUGCACCAAAAAAAAAAAAAAAAAGGGCUUGAGAGCAAAGAGGACUUAAAACUGCAGGUUCGGGGCUUUUUUCCCAUUUAAAAUUUCAUAAAAUUUCUCUGCCAGCACUGAAUAAUUAUUUCAAAGGAAAAACUGAAAAAUGUAUUAUUUUAUAUCUUGUAAGUAAACAGAGAAAUGGCUCCAUGCUAUGUAUGGAGUGGCCUGAAGUCCUUGUUUUGCUUCUGUGGGACUUUGAGCAACUGCUGUGUUUAUUUUUUCCUGAUAAUCUCUCUAAUAGCAUGGAAAAAGAAGCACAGACUGUGCCUUUUUUCCUUUCUUUUUUGAGAAUUGAAAUAAUUUGUGUUUCUCUUCUGUGGAAUGAAUUUCCAAACCAUAAUACCGCACGUUGAGUGUAUCUGGAAAGGAUGCUGCCUUGUUCGAUGAACUGAAUUGUGCACACAGUUGGAGGCUCUGACAGUGCCAGCAUCAGUGAAUGCAAGUUGCAUAAAAAGAGGCAGCAUCAUUCAUGACACUAAUGAACAGUCCUUCCUCGUCUAUCAGAGAAAUCUUUCCCAGGGAUAACGAUUCUCCUAGCAUUUUCUUAGCCAUAAAAGAAGAGAUUGUGUUGGAUCUUUGGUUCUGCAUGAGACUAUCAGGAGGAUUCUUAGGCUGAGAACAGAAAUCAAUGUUUCUGUGAUACUGUAUUGGCUAAAUACUUAGACCAGAGAAAAAAGAUUUUGUUCUGACUGCACACUGAACCUCUUGUUUUGCUUUGCUGUUACAAGAUUGUGAAAAUAGUGUGAAAUUUAAGGGUGCAUGUUUGAUUCUGAGAAAGUCUGCCAGCAAGUCCUGGUCAUUUAUUGCAACAUGCUGUACCUGAUUCACCCAUAUAAUGCUACAGCUUUAAGUAACUGUAAGUUCAUUGAUUUCAGUGGAAUCUUGAGAGUAAAAGGGAAAAAAUGGUAAUUCAACUUUAAUGUAUUUCCUCAUUUUUCAUCAGGUAUUUAUUAGCCUUUAAGAUUCAUCCACUUUAAAUCUUUCUGAGUACUUGAAAAAAGUCUGCUGAGAUAUGAUCAAAACCAAUAUGAAUAGUAGAAGAGGCUCUGGGGAUCUAUUCUACAAAAUGACAAUUAGACAAAAUCUAAACUAGGAGUUUGCUUCUAACAUAGGCUGGGGAUAUGAUUAUUUCUUUGAAAUAGUACUUUUACUGAAAUAAAAGCUAAAACAUAGGUGCAGUUUUAUCAAAUGGUAUAUUUUGCCUUGUAUAGUUUUUUAAGAACUAUAGAGUAAAUAGAGGCUGUACUGGCACAUUAACUUAUUAUCAACAUGUCGUAGAACCAUCAUUAAGGUUGGAAAAGACAUCUGAGAGCAUAGAAUCAUAGAACCACCAACGUUGGAAAAGAUCUCCAACAUCAUCCAUUCCAACUGUCCACCUAUCACUUAUAUUUUCCACUAAACCACAUCCCUCAGUACAUCUUAAGUGUUUCUGAAUACCUCCAGGGGCAGUGACUCCACUACUUCCUUGGGCAGCCCAUUCCAGCACCUGACCACUCUUUCAGAGAAGCAGUAUUUCCUAACAUCCAGCCUGAAUCUCCCCUGGUGCAACUUGAGGCUAUUCCCUCUAGUCCCAUCUCUAGUUAAAUGGUAGAAGAGGCUGGUGCACACCUCACCACAGUCUCCCUUCAGGUAGUCGUAGAGAGCAAUAAGGUCUCCCUUCACCCUCCUCUUCUCCAGACUAAACAACCCCAGCUCCCUCAGCUGCUCCCCAUAGGACUUGUGCUCCAGACUCCUCAUGGCUUUGUUGCCCUUCUCUUAACAUGCUCCAGUGCUCUAGGAAAUCCAGGAAAACUGUGACUCCACCACUGUAGACUAGACCUCAAUCUACAGUUCCAGAUAUUUUAUUUCAUUUUAUAUGCCCCUUAAAUAUCCUGCACAUUGAUUCCUGCGCUUUGUUUGCUUUGCUGUCUAAAUUCAAAUGAUACUUAAUAGACUUCUGUCUUGUCCAGGUAUUUUGUGAAUGGUUCCAGCACCGUGAACUGAGAUUCUGAUGCAUCCUCAUUUGUAGGUGAUCGCUUGUGCAGUUUCAGUGGCUGAUGUGUUUGACCUUAGUUUUAAAUGCAUGUGUAAUAGAUUCUGAGGAAAUAAACUCAUGUAGAUAGAUUUGUCUUGGAGAUUGUGUUAAUGCUUGUGAUAGUGACCAACAUAAUGGGAUGAAGCAGAAAAAGAGAGCUUGAAGUUUGUUUUUAGGAUAGAGAGGAAAAACCAGAACUUUUACCAUUGACAGCACCAGUGACAGCAUGUAGUUACCUAUCAUCUAGCUUUUUCCACUUCCUCAGGACAAGGCAGCAUCUUCAACAGAGAUGGAUUUAAAUUAAAAAAAAAAAGAAAAAAAAAGAGAAAGAGAGAGCUCUAUGUUAUGACAGAAGAAUUUGAUGUGAGUCAUUUAAAGAUGAAUAUUUUAGGACUGUAUAUGAUUAGGUUAUAGGUCAUUUUAAAGUAAAUUUGUUACGUACUGUGCAUUAGUAUCAGGGACAAAGCUUUUGUCACUGGAGGAAACCUCCUUAAAUGACCAGAGCAAAUCCCUCACACUAGCGAAGUAUCUGUAAUUCCUGAUCUCCCACGCAUGACUGAUUUCCACAGGAAUGAAGCUUUUGUGAUCCAUGCACUAGCAAAAAUGUGCUACAGCUACAGUAAUUAAGUGGUUUAAACCUUCCAUCCUAUGUAGAUCCACUUUGAUUUCUUUCUUUCUAACCCUUCUCAUCAGUGGGCGCCAAAAAUUAACACUUUGGUAGGCCCAGGGAAAAUGAGGCUGUGUUUUCCUCAACUUUCUGCUGUAAAAUGAGCCCUGUUAUAAAAAAAACCCUGCUUAUUGGCAUUGAAUUUACAUU